rnacentral:rRNA from 1 species
CCUACGGGUGUCUGCAGUCGAGAAUCAUUCACAAUGGGGGAAACCCUGAUGGUGCGACGCCGCGUGGGGGAAUGAAGGUCUUCGUAUUGUAAACCCCUGUCACGUGGGAGCAAAUUAAAAAGAUAGGACCACAAGAGGAAGAUACGGCUAACUCAGUGCCCGCAGCCGCGGGAAUACAGAGGUCUCAAGCGUGGUUCGGAAUCAAUGGGCGUAAAGCGUGCGUAGGAUGAUGCGUAAGUAGUGUGUGAAAGGCGCGGGCUCAAGCCGCGGACGGCAGAUGAUAAUGGGAGACUAGAGUGAAGGAGGGGGAAGCGGAAUUCUCGGUGUAGCAGUGAAAUGCGUAGAUAUCGAGAGGAACACUCGUGGCGAAGGCGGGUUGCUGGACAGUAAAUGACGCUGAGGCACGAAGGCCAGGGGAGCGAAAGGGAUUAGAUACCCGAGUAGUC